UUUCAGAUAUACGAUAAUUUUAUUUCCAUCGGAAAAUUUUAUUCUUCUUUAAACUCCGUGGCAUACAUAUUCAAAAUAAUUUGCUCAUGAAGAGAUUCGGAGAAAGACCUUUUGGUAUAGACCUUUUGGCAGGAUUUUUCUAUAUAAAGAAAAACUUUUUGAUAAAGAGAAAGUAGGACACACAAUAGAUUUCUGACCUAGACUGUUGGUUUUUCAGAGUGAAACGGAC